UGCCAUCAGCCGCGGUAAUACGUAGGGGCCAAACGUUGUCCGGAUUUAUUGGGCGUAAAGGGCUCGUAGACGGCCCGAGCAGUCGGCUCGUGAAAGCCCGGGGCUCAACCCCGGAGGUGCGGUCGAUACUCUCGGGCUGGAGGCCGGAAGAGGAGGGUGGAAUACCCAGUGUAGAGGUGAAAUUCGUAGAUAUUGGGUGGAACACCAGUGGCGAAAGCGGCUCUCUGGUCCGGUCCUGACGCUGAGGCGCGAAAGCGUGGGGAGCAAACAGGAUUAGAUA
rnacentral:rRNA from 1 species